UCAUUUUAUCGGAUAUCCAAAAAAAUCAAUAGGAUACUAGUUUUACUUUUCACAAGAUCAUAAUAUGAUUGUGAGUCGAAACAUCAUAUUUCUAGAAAACUAGUUUGUCUAGGAUGGUGACAGUGGGAGAUUAAUUGAGCUUGAAGAGGUCUCUAAAGAGUAAAAAGCUAUGGAUCCUCAGGAACCUAUUAUUUAUGGGCCAGC
rnacentral:lncRNA from 1 species